rnacentral:rRNA from 1 species
CCUACGGGAGGCAGCAGUGGGGAAUAUUGGUCAAUGGGCGCAAGCCUGACCCAGCAACGCCGCGUGAAGGAAGAAGGCUUUCGGGUUGUAGACUUCGUUUUAGACGGAAGAGCAUAAUACGGUACGUCUUGGAUAAGCCACGUCUAACUACUGGCCAGCAGCCGCGGUAAUACGUAGGGGGCAGGCGUUGUCCGGAUUUACUGGGUGUAAAGGGCGUGUAGCCGGGCUGACAAGUCAGAUGUGAAAUCCGGGGGCUCAACCCCCGAACUGCAUUUGAAACUGUUGGUCUUGAGUAUCGGAGAGGCAGGCGGAAUUCCUAGUGUAGCGGUGAAAUGCGUAGAUAUUAGGAGGAACACCAGUGGCGAAGGCGGCCUGCUGGACGACAACUGACGGUGAGGCGCGAAAGCGUGGGGAGCAAACAGGAUUAGAUACCCUUGUAGUC